AGCUCAUCCAGAAGGGUGGAGGGACCAGGCCCUGUGAAGCCCUGGCAACCGCCCCGUUGAUCGUCGGGAGACGACGUGGGGAAAGGUGCCAAUUCCUGCCUCGCACGACCGCGAGGGGAGAUGAGCU
rnacentral:ncRNA from 25 species